UAAUACGUAGGUGGCAAGCGUUAUCCGGAAUUAUUGGGCGUAAAGCGCGCGCAGGCGGUUUCUUAAGUCUGAUGUGAAAGCCCACGGCUCAACCGUGGAGGGUCAUUGGAAACUGGGAAGCUUGAGUGCAGAAGAGGAGAGUGGAAUUCCAUGUGUAGCGGUGAAAUGCGUAGAGAUAUGGAGGAACACCAGUGGCGAAGGCGACUCUCUGGUCUGCAACUGACGCUGAGGCGCGAAAGCGUGGGGAGCGAACAGG
rnacentral:rRNA from 1 species